rnacentral:rRNA from 1 species
CCGGGUAAUGAUUGGGCGUAAAGCGUCCGCAGGUGGCAGUUCAAGUCUGCUGUCAAAGACCGGGGCUUAACUUCGGAAAGGCAGUGGAAACUGAACAGCUAGAGUAUGGUAGGGGCAGAGGGAAUUCCUGGUGUAGCGGUGAAAUGCGUAGAGAUCAGGAAGAACAUCGGUGGCGAAGGCGCUCUGCUGGACCAUAACUGACACUCAGGGACGAAAGCUAGGGGAGCGAAUGGGAUUAGAUACCCCAGUAGUCCUAGCCGUAAACGAUGGAUACUAGGCGUUGUCUGUAUCGACCCGGACAGUGCCGUAGCUAACGCGUUAAGUAUCCCGCCUGGGGAGUACGCACGCAAGUGUGAAACUCAAAGGAAUUGACGGGGGCCCGCACAAGCGGCGGAGCAUGCGGAUUAAUUCGAUGCAACGCGAAGAACCUUACCUGGUCUUGACAUAGUGAGAAUCUCUCAGAGAUGAGAGAGUGCCUUCGGGAACUCACAUACAGGUGCUGCAUGGCUGUCGUCAGC